GCGCCGGUAGCCCAUGAAGAGGCCGCCGCUGAUCGUGGCGCCGGACCGGGAGACGCCCGGGAUCAGGGCCGCCGCCUGGCAGACGCC
rnacentral:tRNA from 1 species